rnacentral:rRNA from 1 species
AUUGAACGCUGGCGGCAUGCUUUACACAUGCAAGUCGGACGGCAGCAUAAAAGAGCUUGCUCUUUUGAUGGCGAGUGGCGAACGGGUGAGUAAUGCAUCGGAACGUACCGAGUAGUGGGGGAUAACUGUCCGAAAGGAUGGCUAAUACCGCAUAUUCUCUGAGGAGGAAAGCAGGGGACCUUAGGGCCUUGCGCUAUUUGAGCGGCCGAUGUCUGAUUAGCUAGUUGGUGGGGUAAGAGCCCACCAAGGCGACGAUCAGUAGCGGGUCUGAGAGGAUAAUCCGCCACACUGGGACUGAGACACGGCCCAGACUCCUACGGGAGGCAGCAGUGGGGAAUUUUGGACAAUGGGCGCAAGCCUGAUCCAGCCAUGCCGCGUGUAUGAAGAAGGCCUUCGGGUUGUAAAGUACUUUUGUCAGGGAAGAAAAGCCUGAGGAUAACACCCUCAGGUCAUGACGGUACCUGAAGAAUAAGCACCGGCUAACUACGUGCCAGCAGCCGCGGUAAUACGUAGGGUGCGAGCGUUAAUCGGAAUUACUGGGCGUAAAGCGAGCGCAGACGGUUAUUUAAGCAAGAUGUGAAAGCCCCGGGCUCAACCUGGGAACUGCGUUUUGAACUGGGUAACUAGAGUGUGUCAGAGGGGGGUAGAAUUCCACGUGUAGCAGUGAAAUGCGUAGAGAUGUGGAGGAAUACCGAUGGCGAAGGCAGCCCCCUGGGAUAACACUGACGUUCAUGCUCGAAAGCGUGGGUAGCAAACAGG